rnacentral:lncRNA from 1 species
CUUGCUUUAGGAAGCGGAAGACUAAUGACCGAAGCUUCAAGACUUUGACAUGUGUGAAAACAUGAAAUGACCCUUGGCUCUUAUUGUUCUUGCUGGUGUGGUAUGUUCACGGCUGAAAAGAUGGUCAGAAGGGGAAAGGAGGAAGUGAGAAGAAAGAAACAGGGAAAUGACAGAGUGUUGCUCAGUUACCCAGGCUGGAGUGCAAUGGCAUGAUCUUGGCUCACUGCAGCCUCCACCUCCUGGGUUCAAGCGGUUCUCGUGCCUCAGUCUCCCAAGUAGCUGGGAUUACAGACGAAAUCUUGCUCUGUUGCCCAGGCUGGAGUGCGAUGGCAUGAUCUUGGCUCACGGCAAACUCCGCCUCCCUGGUUCAAGUGAUUCUCCUGCCUCAGCCUCCCGAGUAGCCGGGAUUACAGGCAUGUGCCACCAUGCCCCGUUGGCCAGGCUGGUCUCGAACACCUUACCUCAGGUGAUCCUCCCACCUUUGGGAUUACAGACCCUGCAUGUGAUGGAUCAGCUGACACCAUCCAGAUCGGUAAACUGGUUCAUCUGAUCUUGUGCCCUCCACCCAGGAACUGACUCAGCGCAAGAAGACAGCUUCGACUCCUUGUGAUUUCAUCCCUAACCAAUCAGCACUCCUGGCUCACUGGCUUCCCCCAACCCACCAAAUUGUCCUUAAAAACUCUGCUCUCCAAACGCUGGGGGAGACUGAUUUGAGUAAUAAUAAAACCCUGGUCUCCUGCACA